UUACCGGCCAGCUUUCUCUGCGGAAGUGGGCACUUGUCUAAGUACGCUAAUUGCUCCACAUGCCACGACCUUUGUGGCUGCAUACAACUGUGCUCGAAAAAUUAGCAGUGCCAAAUAAUAACUUUUUUUAUAGAGUUUAAAACAAUGCAACUUGGGUCUAAUACAUCUAACCAGAAGGACUUGCAGAUGCUAAUUCUUCGACCACAACUGUGGAAGAUACACUUGCAUAUAGGACUACAGACUAAGUUUCUUUGACAAAAGGAUACGAAGAAGAGCAUCACUUGAUGGUGCUUCACAGCGCCCGCCAAUCCCAGCAUGGAGAUGCAGAUGAGGAUGACGCCGCAGGCCAGGAUUCCGCCCACAAUCGGCAGGUUGGUGACAAUGGAGGCGGCACGUGCAUACACCCCGACGCCAAUCAGCAAGAAUCCAAUCAUCUGAAGAAGGGAAGGGUAAAAUAUGUAAAAAGGAUUCAAGAUGUGCACUGGAGGUCACCCCAAACACAAAGGCAACAACAAAUACAGUGAGGAAGACAGUGAGAUACACACACAUACUAACAGGCUUGCACCUGCCACCGCAAAAUGAAAAUCAAUACCAAUAAUUGGUAAUAAUCUUAUUAAAUCAUUGACCGUU